UACGUAGGGUGCGAGCGUUGUCCGGAAUUAUUGGGCGUAAAGGGCUCGUAGGCGGUUUGUCACGUCGGGAGUGAAAACCAGGUGCUUAACACCUGGCUUGCUUUCGAUACGGGCUGACUAGAGGUAUGCAGGGGAGAACGGAAUUCCUGGUGUAGCGGUGAAAUGCGCAGAUAUCAGGAGGAACACCGGUGGCGAAGGCGGUUCUCUGGGCAUUACCUGACGCUGAGGAGCGAAAGUGUGGGGAGCGAACA
rnacentral:rRNA from 1 species